UGGGGAAUAUUGCACAAUGGGGGAAACCCUGAUGCAGCGACGCCGCGUGAACGAAGAAGGUAUUCGUAUCGUAAAGUUCUGUCCUAUGGGAAGAUAAUGACAGUACCAUAGAAGAAAGCUCCGGCUAAAUACGUGCCAGCAGCCGCGGUAAUACGUAUGGAGCGAGCGUUGUCCGGAAUUAUUGGGCGUAAAGGGUACGCAGGCGGCUUAAUAAGUCGAAUGUUAAAGAUCGGGGCUCAACCCCGCAAAGCAUUGGAAACUGAUAAACUUGAGUAGUGGAGAGGAAAGUGGAAUUCCUAGUGUAGUGGUGAAAUACGUAGAUAUUAGGAGGAAUACCAGUAGCGAAGUCGACUUUCUGGACACAAACUGACGCUGAGGUACGAAAGCGUGGGGAGCAAACAGG
rnacentral:rRNA from 1 species